rnacentral:antisense_RNA from 3 species
CUUCACCGACCCCAGCCACAGCGGCUCCGCACGGUCCUGACCGUAGGUGGCCAGGAGGGCCUGGGCCUC